rnacentral:rRNA from 1 species
UACGGAGGGGGCUAGCGUUGUUCGGAAUUACUGGGCGUAAAGCGCGCGUAGGCGGACCUGCAAGUCGGGGGUGAAAGCCCGAGGCUCAACCUCGGAACUGCCUUCGAUACUGCGGGUCUCGAGUCCGGGAGAGGUGAGUGGAAUUCCUAGUGUAGAGGUGAAAUUCGUAGAUAUUAGGAAGAACACCAGUGGCGAAGGCGGCCAACUGGCCCGAUACUGACGCUCAUGUGCGAAAGCGUGGGGAGCAAACAGG